rnacentral:miRNA from 1 species
CAUCGGCAGCAAGUUGAGCAUUGUGGAUCUGCAACACGAUGCUGGCAUUGUCCACGGAAUUUGCAAAGAUCUGAGCCCUCAGGUCCUCGAUGGUCUUGAAAUAGUGGCCCAAGUCU